AGCACUCUGUAUUACAGUUGGAAAUGAGAGACUUACAUCAGCUAGCAACACUUCCACAGUUGUGUUAAACAGCUUAUCACCAGGGUGCUCCAUGUUUCCACUUCUGAAGAAGUACCUGAUAGGAAAGGUCUGUUCUCCAGUCUGACAAAGAGAGAAGAAACUUUGCUGAACCAGGCAGGAUGGCUCCUUUUGGUGCCAACCUCAGUUUCUACUGCUCAUAGAUAGGGAUACCCAUCACCAGUGAGACUGCAAAGAAAGAAGUCCACAAGCCACAUAACCUUAAGUCAGACUGACAGAUCUAUGGGCACUCCAGUGAGAACUCCAGCACUAGAUCACAUUGCUACAGGUGCACCUACAAUUGAGAAGGCUGCAGAAAGUUAUCCAUUGUCAUGGGCAUGGCCAAGUUGGUUUUUCAGUUAAGCCAAAAAUGCUGCCAAUGUUUCUUUAUAUAAAAUCACCCUAGAGGAGGGUCAUAAUUUCAACAAAACAUAAACCCCCGCAAAUGGUUGAUGAGUUCCUUAUUAUUGCUUAUGAAAGUUCUUUUUAACUAUCACAUGAGAGUUAGGAGAAGAUGUAACUGUAUAUUUUGUAUUAGAUUUCAACAGAAUUCAUUAUGAUUUGUGCAGGUAUUAGCUGAUUUUGCAUGUGGAUGAAAAAGUUACACUGAAAAUUUAUUAAUAUCUUUUAAAGAAUCUCAUCACCUUUCCAUUUGCUUCUAACUUUAGCAAACCGAGUACAUAAUAAAUUCUCCUUGGCUUCCUCAUUCAUGUUCAUUUUAGAGGAAAAAAUGUCAGCUAAUGCAUCUCAGCCAUAUGAAUAUAUGAAUAAAACCAGUAUUUUUUCUCAAUUAUGACUAUUUUUUGUUGAUAUUUAAAAAGAUUUAUCAGAAUACUUCAGGGUAGAAACUUGAAAUUGGGAGGGGUGUGGUAGAAGUCCUUUUGCCAUCCCCAUUAAAAUCCAUUCAUUUUGGCAGCAUUAUAAAUUUCAGGGGAAAACCCACUCCAAACUUUGAGUAUGCUUGAUUGUUAGAACUUAAUAUAUAAUAUAAAC